rnacentral:rRNA from 1 species
CCUACGGGUGACAGCAGUGAGGAAUAUUGGUCAAUGGACGAGAGUCUGAACCAGCCAAGUAGCGUGAAGGAUGACUGCCCUAUGGGUUGUAAACUUCUUUUAUAUGGGAAUAAAAUGUUCCACGUGUGGGAUUUUGUAUGUACCAUAUGAAUAAGGAUCGGCUAACUCCGUGCCAGCAGCCGCGGUAAUACGGAGGAUCCGAGCGUUAUCCGGAUUUAUUGGGUUUAAAGGGAGCGUAGGUGGAUUGUUAAGUCAGUUGUGAAAGUUUGCGGCUCAACCGUAAAAUUGCAGUUGAAACUGGCAGUCUUGAGUACAGUAGAGGUGGGCGGAAUGCGUGGUGUAGCGGUGAAAUGCUUAGAUAUCACGAAGAACUCCGAUUGCGAAGGCAGUUCACUGGACUGCAACUGACACUGAGGCUCGAAAGUGUGGGUAUCAAACAGGAUUAGAUACCCUUGUAGUC